rnacentral:snoRNA from 1 species
UUUGCCAAUGAUGAUUUUUUCACAGCGCUUUGAUGCUAAUGAAACCAAAACAUGCACUACCAUCUGAGGCAAA